UUAUAAGCUACUGAGAUGUUUUCUUGCUUAA
rnacentral:piRNA from 1 species